GUGUUCCUACGGGGCGCAGCAGUGGGGAAUAUUGCACAAUGGGGGAAACCCUGAUGCAGCGACGCCGCGUGAGUGAAGAAGUAUUUCGGUAUGUAAAGCUCUAUCAGCAGGGAAGAAAAAAGACGGUACCUGACUAAGAAGCCCCGGCUAACUACGUGCCAGCAGCCGCGGUAAUACGUAGGGGGCAAGCGUUAUCCGGAUUUACUGGGUGUAAAGGGAGCGUAGACGGCAGGGUAAGUCUGGAGUGAAAGCCCGGGGCCCAACCCCGGGACUGCUUUGGAAACUGCCAUGCUGGAGUGCUGGAG
rnacentral:rRNA from 1 species